rnacentral:RNase_P_RNA from 3 species
CAGGAAUGUCGGACGGCUGCGUGAAAGGAUGGGUUUAACCCAAUCCUAACCCGAGGAAAGUCCGAACACCACAAAGGAUCGCAAGGUCUUUAACAAAAACGUCGUUAACGACGACCAGGUAUAAGCAUCUGAACUCGAGGAAUUGGAUUUUUCUGUUCCUUGACUUCUGAUCCAAAGCCUAGGGAAAGUGCCACAGAGACAAUACUACCCCUCGUCGUCCGGCUUUGCCGGACUAUGAGGGGGAAAGGUGAAAAGUGAUAAGAGGUCGGGCAACCGGCCACCUAUCUCGCCCCACGGUGACGUGGAGGUGUGGUAAACCCGUUUUGGUGAAAGAGCAAGUUUGGUAGCUCGCUUGAACCUGCCAGCAAUGUCAGGUCUAGAUAGAUAGCCGUCUCCUCUCGCCUAUUUGGAGAGCAGACAAAAUUCGGCUUACAGACAUGACCUGGGAC